rnacentral:rRNA from 1 species
UACGUAGGGUGCGAGCGUUAAUCGGAAUUACUGGGCGUAAAGCGUGCGCAGGCGGCUUCGCAAGUCAGACGUGAAAUCCCCGGGCUUAACCUGGGAAUGGCGUUUGAAACUACGGAGCUGGAGUGUGGCAGAGGGAGGUAGAAUUCCACGUGUAGCGGUGAAAUGCGUAGAUAUCGUGAGGAACACCAGAGGCGAAGGCGGCUACCUGGACAAUUGCUGACGCUCAGGCACGAAAGCGUGGGGAGCAAACAGG